rnacentral:rRNA from 1 species
CCUACGGGAGACAGCAGUGAGGAAUAUUGGUCAAUGGGCGAGAGCCUGAACCAGCCAAGUCGCGUGAGGGAGUACUGCCCUAUGGGUUGUAAACCUCUUUUGUACGAGGGUAAACCCCGAUACGUGUAUCGGGUUGAAAGUAUCGUACGAAUAAGGAUCGGCUAACUCCGUGCCAGCAGCCGCGGUAAUACGGAGGAUCCGAGCGUUAUCCGGAUUUAUUGGGUUUAAAGGGCGUGCAGCCGGAGAGACAAGUCAGAUGUGAAAUCCACGGGCUCAACCCGUGAACUGCAUUUGAAACUGUUUCCCUUGAGUGUCGGAGAGGUAAUCGGAAUUCCUUGUGUAGCGGUGAAAUGCGUAGAUAUAAGGAAGAACACCAGUGGCGAAGGCGGAUUACUGGACGAUAACUGACGGUGAGGCGCGAAAGCGUGGGGAGCAAACAGGAUUAGAUACCCCGGUAGUC